AUGCAAGUCGAGGGGUAUAGGUUUUCGGAUCUAGAGACCGGCGCACGGGUGCGUAACGCGUAUGCAAUCUACCUUUCACAGAGGGAUAGCCCAGAGAAAUUUGGAUUAAUACCUCAUAGUAUUAUAGAGUGGCAUCAUUUUAUAAUUAAAGUCACAACGGUGAAAGAUGAGCAUGCGUCCCAUUAGCUAGAUGGUAAGGUAACGGCUUACCAUGGCUACGAUGGGUAGGGGUCCUGAGAGGGAGAUCCCCCACACUGGUACUGAGACACGGACCAGACUCCUACGGGAGGCAGCAGUGAGGAAUAUUGGACAAUGGGCGCAAGCCUGAUCCAGCCAUGCCGCGUGCAGGAUGACGGUCCUAUGGAUUGUAAACUGCUUUUGCACAGGAAGAAACAACUCUACGUGUAGAGUCUUGACGGUACUGUGAGAAUAAGGAUCGGCUAACUCCGUGCCAGCAGCCGCGGUAAUACGGAGGAUCCAAGCGUUAUCCGGAAUCAUUGGGUUUAAAGGGUCCGUAGGUGGUUUGUUAAGUCAGAUGUGAAAGCCCCGGGCUCAACCUGGGAAUUGCAUUUGAUACUGGCGAACUAGAGUGAGGUAGAGGAGAGUGGAAUUCCCGGUGUAGCAGUGAAAUGCGUAGAGAUCGGGAGGAACAUCAGUUGCGAAGGCGGCUCUCUGGACCAUCACUGACACUGAGGCACGAAAGCGUGGGGAGCAAACAGGAUUAGAUACCCUGGUAGUCCACGCCCUAAACGAUGCGAACUGGACGUUGGGAUCAAUUGAGAUUUCAGUGUCGAAGCUAACGCGUUAAGUUCGCCGCCUGGGGAGUACGGUCGCAAGACUGAAACUCAAAGGAAUUGACGGGGGCCCGCACAAGCGGUGGAGUAUGUGGUUUAAUUCGNAUGCACGCGAAGAACCUUACCUGGUCUUGACAUGUACGGAAUCCUUUAGAGAUAGAGGAGUGCCUUCGGGAACCGUACACAGGUGCUGCAUGGCUGU
rnacentral:rRNA from 1 species